AUUAGGGCUUGGUCAUGGCAUUCAUAAAGAGUUCUCCAACUUUAGUGGUUCUACAGACUUAACAUUACAUCAGUUGAAAGUUAAGUAUAAGAACACAACUAAAAGAAAAAGAAUGGCAAUUGCAUACAAGAGAUCAUGCAGUCAAACUGGAGGAGGGAGAGGAGAUAUAUGUCCUCCUGAACUGGACCCGGAUGAGUCCUCUGACAUUGAUCCGGCUUUGGAGCCUAACCACGGUUUCCUUGAUU